rnacentral:lncRNA from 1 species
GAGAGGAGGGGGCUUCCACUUCCGUCACCUGGCAAAGGAACCUCCACAGCCCAAGAAUAUUAACAUUUAUCAGGUGCCGGGCAUGGGCCUCAUGUGUUUUAUGUAAUUCAAUCCUCCCAACAAAAGUAUGAGGAGGACUUCUCCCACACGGAAGACCACACUCAGGCCAAGCACUGUGGUUCCCGCCUGAAAUCCCAGCGCUUUGGGAGGUGGAGGCAAGAGGAUUGCUUGAGCUCAGAAGUUCAAGACCACCCUGGGCAACACAGUGAGAUCUCAUUUUAAAACUUUUUAAAAAAAUUAGCCAGGUAAGGUGGUGCAUGCUUGUAGUCC